rnacentral:lncRNA from 1 species
AUUUCAUUUAAUAACAUUGUAGAGGAAAUUUGAUAAUAUGAAAUUAUGAAGAAUAUACGAAUGCAUUCCAGUUUACAUAAAGAGUUGGAUUGGGUUUACAGAAUAGAGAAAAAUGAAAAUAAAUAGCAUAAUAAAGCAAAAAAUAGAGAAUAACGGGGGCUCACUUAUAAAGAGUAUAGAACAAUGGCCAAAAAUAAAGACUACAAAAAUACAUAAAAAGAUUAAAACAUAUAGAAUUGAAGGAACCUCCAUCCAGAACCACUUACAAAAUAUUAGAUUGAAAAUUGGUACGCUAAUAUCAUAUUGUAUUGCACGUAAUAUAUAUGAUAAUAAACUAAUGUAGAACAUGGAUGUUAUAUCUAUGAGGUUGACUCUCCCUCUGGUUUCUUUCGUACCUCUUUUAUAUACAUAUUAUAUUUUACCAUUGCCUCCAGAAAAAAGUAAAAACACAAAAAUACUGAACUCCGAGGAAAAUUCAAAAAGGAAA